AACUAACAAGGAUUCCCCUAGUAACGGCGAGUGAAGAGGGAAAAGCUCAAAUUUGAAAUCUGGCGGCCUACGGUCGUCCGAGUUGUAAUCUAGAGAAGUGUUUUCCGUGCUGGACCGUGUACAAGUCCUUUGGAACAAGGCGUCAUAGAGGGUGAGAAUCCCGUCUACGACACGGACUACCAGUGCUCUGUGAUACACUCUCAACGAGUCGAGUUGUUUGGGAAUGCAGCUCAAAAUGGGUGGUAAAUUCCAUCUAAAGCUAAAUACAGGCGAAAGACCGAUAGCGAACAAGUACCGUGAGGGAAAGAUGAAAAGCACUUUGGAAAGAGAGUUAAACAGUACGUGAAAUUGUUGAAAGGGAAACGCUUGAAGUCAGUCGCGUCUUCAGAAAUUCAGUCUGGCUUCUGCCGGAUGUACUUUUCUGUUGGACGGGCCAGCAUCAGUUUUGGUCGCCAGAGAAAGGUGAGAGGAAGGUGGCACCUCCGGGUGUGUUAUAGCCUCUCAUCGUAUGUGGCGGCUGGGACUGAGGACCGCAGCACGCCUUCAUGGCCGGGGUUCGCCACGUAACGUGCUUAGGAUGCUGGCGUAAUGGCUUUAA
rnacentral:rRNA from 1 species